rnacentral:lncRNA from 1 species
GUAACUAUGACAUCUCCACGCCAUACUAUCUCCCUAAUGAGGUAAUAUUUUUGUUCUAUGUACUUCCUACUCUUGUGAUUUUUAGAUUGAGCAACGAUCCCAUUAUUAUCACAACGACCCCAUUCAACUUUGCGGGAGACAAACUAUAUGGUGCUUUAGAGAUUGGGUGGGUUCCAAGCGUGACCUCAAUAGAAAAUUCGAUAUCUCUAUUUAUAGGUAUUCUUGACAACUCAUCAGGAAAUACCUCGAGAAAGUCACAGACUACAGGAAUGUCAGUUAUACAUAAGUCUUCCGACGAAGACAACAUCACACUAUAAAGAUAACCCCAACAACCCUUUCGCAGUCGUUGAACACGAGUCAUGGGUAUAAAACAUGGGGGAGUAACUACAUUAUCUCCUUCAAAUCAAAUAUCUUUUUGCUCUGAAUUCUUAAAGGUAACCCAUUUAUCGGGAUAAUUGAUUAUGGCCCCAUUUUGGGACAACCAAUCCAUCCCAAAUAUGACAUUAAAGUACCUCAUUUCCAAGGGUAUCAAGUCCGUAGGUAUAACUGUAUUCUUAAUACAAACAUGAUAAUCUCGAUAUACAAUCGAGCAAACAAUGCCCCUACUCAUAGGUUUUGACAUCGCUAAUUUAUACCUUAACGGUCCAAGUUCCUUAUUCAUUCUACUAGCAAAAUGUGCGAACAUAAAUGAAAGGUCACUCAUGACGGGUUUAAGAAUAAACAUUCUUUUAUAAAAGACAAUAAAAUUAUUACUAUUGUACCGUUGACUCCAAGACAAGUAUAUGAAGAUCAAAUGAAGUUGAAAAGAGAUAAUGAGUUGAAAAAAAAUUGUGAGACUGAGAGUUCAGAGAAAGAUGAUGAAAAAGAGAGUGAAAGAAAAAAAAAAGUGAAGAAAAUGACAAGAAAAAAAACAAGUGAGUUUUUAUGCUAAGGCGAGUGAUGUCAAAAGUGUUUUUUAUACAAACCAGUCUAUAUUUGUACUCUUGUACAAAGAGGCAUGUUUUAAUACUAACGAACUUAAUGAAUCUUUGUCUAGUAUUGUUGUCUCUUUGUUGUAGGAAUAUGAGAACGUGUUUCCUAACGAUGUGCCUAGUGGAUUGCCACAUAUUAAAGGAAUAGAGCAUCAAAUUGAUUUUGUGCCAAGUGCAAUCAUUCCUAACCGACCAGCCUAUGGAAGUAAUGCGGAAGAGACAAAGGAACUUCAAAGGCAAGUUGAGGAGUUGAUGACCAAAGGACACGUGAGAGAGAGCAUGGGUCCAUGCGUGGUCCCGGUGCUACUUGUGCCUAAGAAGGAUGGAACUUGGAGAAUGUGUAUUGAUUGCUGGGCUAUCAACAAUAUUACGAUAAAGUAUAGACAUCCCAUUCCUAGGCUAGAUGACAUGUUGGAUGAAUUGCAUGGGUCAUGUAUUUUCAUAAAAAUUAAUUUGAAAAGUGGGUAUCAUCAAAUUAUGAUGAAAGAGGGUGAUGAAUGGAAAAUUGUCUUUAAAACUAAAUAUAGAUUGUAUGAGUGGUUGGUAAUGCCUUUUGUUUUAACUAAUACACCAAAUACAUUCAUGAGAUUAAUGAAUCAUGCGUUGCGUGCGUUUAUAGGCAAAUUUGUUGUUGUCUAUUUUGAUGAUAUUUUGGUGUAUAGUAAGAACUUAGAUGAGCAUAUCUAUCAUUUGCAUAUUGUGCUUGAUGUUUUGAGAAAAGAAAAACUAUUCUCGAUUUUCUUUCCUCUCAUUCUACAAACCACCACCCCACACAAACACUUGUAGGAUAUCCCAUCUAAAAGAAGCACUUAUUUAGCAUAAAAAGUUUGUUAAUACUUAAAAAAAAAAUACUUAAUUAUAUUAAAAUAUCAUAUACUUAGACCCUACGGCUCUACAAAUAUUUAAUUAUAUCAAUAUGUAAAAUUAUAAAAUUUACACCCUCUCGUGGCGCUCAAAUCUAUGAAUUUGUGAACUAGAUUUACCAUUAUUUUUAUAGCAAAAUUUACGAGAUUCAAUCUUAUUCCCAGUUCUCAAGAUUAGCAUUUCAAUUCACGAUGCAAUUCUCGAUUGGGAAACUAUGAGAAAUUUAAUAUUUGGCCCACCCCCACCUCUAGAAAAAACGAAUGUUAACAAAUUAGUGUGCAAGCUUGAAGGAACUACUUUGGCCGAACGAACCCAAGAAUGUCAGGAUAUUAGACACUAGAGUUUCUACCGGCUUGGAUGUUGAUUACUUGAGAACUCUUAAGUUAGGUCCCUAACGCAAAGCAAAGCGUAGUCGAAUAGUCAACUCGUGAUCCCCCACUAACUUAAGAAAGUCCAAGAAAGAAUCAAUUGUAGUGGUGGUCUGCCUUGGACCUCUUUUCAUCACUUCUUCCUUGAUUCCAAGAUUCCUCAAAGAGGAUGUUCGUGAAAGCCACCUAAAAAACUUGGAAGCUAGCUGGUACACAAGUUUCAAUCAAUCUACCUUUGUGUAGAUAAUGCACCUCUUGAGGCUGACCAAAAAGAUGCUCAAUCCAUAUGCUGGAAAA